AACGUAGGUGGCGAGCGUUAUCCGGAUUUACUGGGCGUAAAGGGUGUGCAGGCUGCCCCUCAAGUGGUGUAUGAAAGGGCUCGGCUCAACCGGGCUAGGUUAUGCCAGACUGAGGGGCUAGAGAGCGAGAGCGGGACGUGGAAUUCCGGGUGUAGUGGUGAAAUGCGUAGAGAUCCGGAAGGAACCCCAGAGGCGAAGGCGGCGUCCUGGCUCGCAUCUGACGCUCAGACACGACAGCAUGGGGGAGCGAACGGG
rnacentral:rRNA from 1 species